UUGCCCAGAAAUUUGAAAAAAUUUCGUCACCAAAGGUUUUUAGCGACGGAUGUUCAACAGAUUUUUCGUCACUCUUCAGACCAAAUGUCAUCAUGAUCAGAGACAUGUAGGAGUUAUUUCGGGUCCGUUGACAUUCCAAGAAGCAAGUUGUGGGUGUUUGAAAUCGUCUUGUUGUCUAUCCUCUCUCACUUCGACAUAUUCUAUGCUUUGCUCAUCCAUACACCUACACAAACCCGGAAAGUUCUCACACCCUCUCUCUCUCUUUAAUUGAUUUGGCAUGACCUAACUAUACUGCAAAAGUAGUUCUUCCAGCUGAGAUGCUAAUUGAAUGAGCUGACAGAGACACAGAAGACUGAUUUAAGCUCCAUUUCUAAUGCUGUUAGUCAAGGAUGCUUUUACAAGCAGAGCUUGUACUUGAAGAUGUCGGUCAAGAUCGUGCACGCAAAACUGUACUUUUAUCAGGUUCUUAUUUACUCGAUAUGCACACUUUCUUCAUUGCAAAAGAGUUAACAUGGGCUGUUAAGUGUGCAUGGACUUCUAUUGACCUAUGCGCAAAUGCUUUGCUACUAUUGAUGCCGGGAUGGGGCUGAAUCACUAGGGUGUCAAGACCAUGAGGGGAUUGUAAAUGCACUCAGGCGAGGUCGAUUGGAGUUGGAAGUUAAAGAUGAUAUAAUUUAGACUACUGUAUUUGACUAAUCCUCAGAGUCUGCUCCCGAUUUCGUUAUGUUUGACUCUAUGUACAGAUGGCUAAAUUGUUUAUGUAAAAUUCUCUCCGGUGUUGAUAUUUGUUC